UGUUGACUCAGAUUUUCAAGGAGCUUUGUCACCACAACUGGCUUGGAUGAGAAUCUCGUAUUUUUGCGAAGUCUACCAGAAGUGCAGCAAUAGGUGUGCUUCUCUCCACAGUGAGUGAUGAAUCACCCUGGCCUCCUGAUGAUGCUAUGGAACCAGAGCACAGCUUCACAGCAGCAGCAUUGCAGGCAGUCAAUAAGGAAAUAUUCUGAGGUGGAUUGAAAUAAGAGUCUUCAAGCCGGCUGUCAUUGGAAUUCUUGCAGCAAGGAAGGAAUAUUAUGUUUCCUUUAGCUCUAGAUUUCACGAGGAAAUUGUAAUGUGUUUGUGCCUUUCUCGGUCCCCUGAUGUAACAAUCCAUCCAACUAGCUCACACUCCACUACCCUCCAGACAGGUUCUUUAAGGCAUCACAAGCUACAGAGAUAUAUCUGUCUCUUCAAAAAACAGAGCAGAUACACACUGAAUACUGUACACUGAAGAAAAAUUCCUGAGGAGAAAGUCAAAGAAAAAGAGGAUGUAAAUGAGGAAACAAGAAACUUGAAUGCUCUCAUCUGGAGUUCUCAAACUGCAUCAAGUGAAUAAAUAAUUUUACAGACUGUGUGGUGGCA
rnacentral:lncRNA from 1 species